rnacentral:rRNA from 1 species
GAACGCACCGCAAGGUGAGUGGCGCACGGGUGAGUAACGCGUGGGAACCUGCCCUGGAGUGGGGGAUAACCCGGCGAAAGCCGGGCUAAUACCGCAUACGUCCUGAGGGAGAAAGAUUUAUCGCUCUAGGAGGGGCCCGCGUCGGAUUAGCUAGUUGGUGAGGUAACGGCUCACCAAGGCGACGAUCCGUAGCUGGUCUGAGAGGAUGAUCAGCCACACUGGGACUGAGACACGGCCCAGACUCCUACGGGAGGCAGCAGUGGGGAAUAUUGGACAAUGGGGGCAACCCUGAUCCAGCAAUGCCGCGUGAGUGAUGAAGGCCUUAGGGUUGUAAAGCUCUUUCGGCGGGGACGAUGAUGACGGUACCCGCAGAAGAAGCCCCGGCUAACUUCGUGCCAGCAGCCGCGGUAAUACGAAGGGGGCAAGCGUUGUUCGGAAUUACUGGGCGUAAAGGGCGCGCAGGCGGCCGACGUAGUCAGGCGUGAAAGCCCCGGGCUUAACCUGGGAAUUGCGUUUGAUACUCGUUGGCUGGAGUUCGGGAGAGGAUGGUGGAAUUCCCAGUGUAGAGGUGAAAUUCGUAGAUAUUGGGAAGAAUACCGGUGGCGAAGGCGGCCAUCUGGACCGAAACUGACGCUGAGGCGCGAAAGCGUGGGGA